rnacentral:rRNA from 1 species
GAUGAACGCUGACAGAAUGCUUAACACAUGCAAGUCGAUGGGGAAGUGGUGCUUGCACCCUGGCCACCAUGGCGGACGGGUGAGUAACGCGUAAGGGACUUACCUGCAGGACUGGGAUAACAGGGGGAAACUCCUGACAAGACCGGAUAAUGUCAUGGAGCUGCAUGGCUUUAUGAUGAAAGGAGACGCCUGCGGAGAGCCUUGCGUCCUAUUAGCUAGUUGGUGAGGUAAUGGCUCACCAAGGCGAAGAUAGGUAGCCGGCCUGAGAGGGUGGACGGCCACAAGGGGACUGAGAUACGGCCCUUACUCCUACGGGACGCAGCAGUGGGGAAUAUUGGACAAUGGGGGCAACCCUGAUCCAGCAAUUCUGUGUGCACGAAGAAGGUUUUCGGAUUGUAAAGUGCUUUCAGCAGGGAAGAAGUAAGUGACGGUACCUGCAGAAGAAGCGACGGCUAAAUACGUG